rnacentral:rRNA from 1 species
UACGAGUGCUCCAAGCGUUAUCCGGAAUUAUUGGGCGUAAAGGGUGUGUAGGCGGCUGUGUUAGUCUUCUGUUAAAUUCUUCGGCUUAACCGGGGGCAUGCAGAAGAAACGGCACAACUAGAGGAUGCGAGAGGUGAAUAGAACUCAUGGAGUAGGGGUGAAAUCCGUUGAUAUCAUGGGGAAUACCAAAAGCGAAGGCAAUUCACUGGCGCACUCCUGACGCUGAAACACGAAAGCGUAGGUAGCGAAUGGG